UACGGAGGAUGCAGGCGUUAUCCGGAUUUAUUAGGUUUAAAGGGUGCGUAGGCGGUCUUUUAAGUCAGUGGUGAAAGUUUGCAGCUUAACUGUAAAAUUGCCAUUGAUACUGGCAGACUUGAAUAUGGUAGAGGUAGGCGGAAUGUGUAGUGUAGCGGUGAAAUGCUUAGAUAUUACACAGAACACCAAUUGCGAAGGCAGCUUACUAUGCCAUUAUUGACGCUGAGGCACGAAAGCGUGGGGAGCGAACAGG
rnacentral:rRNA from 1 species